GCGCGAUAGCUCAGCUGGUUAGAGCGCAGGAUUCAUAAUCCUGAGGUCGAGAGUUCAAGUCUCUCUCGCG
rnacentral:tRNA from 1 species